rnacentral:tRNA from 1 species
UGAGGUAGCUCAACUGGCAGAGCAACGGUUUUGUAAACCGUAGGUUGUGGGUUCGACUCCCAUCCUCA